rnacentral:rRNA from 1 species
AACGUAGGUGGCGAGCGUUAUCCGGAAUUAUUGGGCGUAAAGGGCUCGUAGGCGGUUUGUCGCGUCGGGAGUGAAAACCUCGGGCUUAACUCGGGGCUUGCUUUCGAUACGGGCAGACUAGAGGUAUGCAGGGGAGAACGGAAUUCCAGGUGUAGCGGUGAAAUGCGCAGAUAUCAGGAGGAACACCGAUGGCGAAGGCAGGUCUCUGGGCCACUACUGACGCUGAGAAGCGAAAGCAUGGGGAGCGAACAGG